CAAUUGUCGAAAAAACGUGAGUCUUAGAGAAAGAUUUUAUUUACUUUGAUUGAAAUCCUCUCAAUUGGCCGCCAGUUUUUAUUCGCCAAGUAAUUUGACCGAGUCAUAUAUUAAUUCAGUCGAUGAAAUUGUUUUGAAACUUCAGAAAUAUUGGGAAGAACCAUCAGCAGUUGCUAGUAUAAUUUUAACUUCUGAUGUGAACAAAAUUAGGCAGUAUUAAAAACUGGUUUUGCCGAACUGAUAUUAUCAUAGAGAUGCUACUGUACAAAAUAAGAGUAAUUCAUUCAAACAAAUAUACAAAUUUAGAAAACUUAAUGAACCUGUCCACCGAAGUACCAAUAAUGAAAUCUCUAAAUUCAAAAGAGAAGACAAUGGCUCAUCAAGUAAUUUAGCUAGCUUUUCUGAAUAUUAGGACAGAUUAAAUCGUCUUUAGGUACAGCAAAAAAAA